CCUGAUCCAGCCAUCCCGCGUGUGUGAUGAAGGCCUUCGGGUUGUAAAGCACUUUUGACAGGGAAGAAAUGAUAGAGGCUAAUAACCUCUGUAGAUGACGGUACCUGUAGAAUAAGCACCGGCUAACUACGUGCCAGCAGCCGCGGUAAUACGUAGGGUGCAAGCGUUAAUCGGAAUUACUGGGCGUAAAGGGUACGCAGGCGGCUAGGAAAGAAAGAUGUGAAAUCCCAGGGCUCAACCUUGGAACUGCAUUUUUAACUACCUAGCUAGAGUAUGUCAGAGGGGGGUAGAAUUCCACGUGUAGCAGUGAAAUGCGUAGAGAUGUGGAGGAAUACCGAUGGCGAAGGCAGCCCCCUGGGAUAAUACUGACGCUCAGGUACGAAAGCGUGGGGAGCAAACAGGAUUAGAUACCCUGGUAGUCCACGCCCUAAACGAUGUCAACUAGCUGUUGGGGCCGUUAGGCCUUAGUAGCGCAGCUAACGCGUGAAGUUGACCGCCUGGGGA
rnacentral:rRNA from 1 species